rnacentral:rRNA from 1 species
GAACGCUAGCGGCAGGCUUAACACAUGCAAGUCGAGGGGCAGCGGGGAGGAAGCUUGCUUUCUCCGCCGGCGACCGGCGCACGGGUGAGUAACACGUAUGCAACCUGCCCCUGUCAGGGGGACAACCCGCCGAAAGGCGGGCUAAACCCGCGUACAUGCCACCGGGGCAUCCCGGAGGCAGGAAAGGCUUCGGCCGGACAGGGAUGGGCAUGCGGCGCAUUAGGCAGUAGGCGGGGUAACGGCCCACCUAACCGACGAUGCGUAGGGGUUCUGAGAGGAAGGUCCCCCACACUGGUACUGAGACACGGACCAGACUCCUACGGGAGGCAGCCGUGAGGAAUAUUGGUCAAUGGUCGGGAGACUGAACCAGCCAAGCCGCGUGAGGGAUGAAGGUACAGAGUAUCGUAAACCUCUUUUGUCAGGGAACAAAGGCGGGGACGUGUCCCCGGAUGAGUGUACCUGAAGAAAAAGCAUCGGCUAACUCCGUGCCAGCAGCCGCGGUAAUACGGAGGAUGCGAGCGUUAUCCGGAUUUAUUGGGUUUAAAGGGUGCGCAGGCGGUCUGUUAAGUCAGCGGUCAAAGCCCGGGGCUCAACCCCGGCCCGCCGUUGAAACUGGCAGUCUCGAGUUGGAGAGAAGUAUGCGGAAUGCGCGGUGUAGCGGUGAAAUGCAUAGAUAUCGCGCAGAACUCCGAUUGCGAAGGCAGCAUGCCGGCUCCACACUGACGCUGAGGCACGAAAGCGUGGGUAUCGAACAGGAUUAGAUACCCUGGUAGUCCACGCAGUAAACGAUGAAUGCUGGCUGUCCGGGGGGGACUGACCCCUGGGUGGCGAAGCGAAAGCGAUAAGCAUUCCACCUGGGGAGUACGCCGGCAACGGUGAAACUCAAAGGAAUUGACGGGGGCCCGCACAAGCGGAGGAACAUGUGGUUUAAUUCGAUGAUACGCGAGGAACCUUACCCGGGCUCAAACGGGGAGUGACUCAGGCAGAGACGCCUGUUUCCCACGGGACACUCCCCGAGGUGCUGCAUGGUUGUCGUCAGCUCGUGCCGUGAGGUGUCGGCUUAAGUGCCAUAACGAGCGCAACCCCCGCGUGCAGUUGCUAACAGAUAACGCUGAGGACUCUGCACGGACUGCCGGCGCAAGCCGCGAGGAAGGCGGGGAUGACGUCAAAUCAGCACGGCCCUUACGUCCGGGGCGACACACGUGUUACAAUGGGUGGUACAGCGGGAAGCCAGGCGGCGACGCCGAGCGGAACCCGAAAUCCACUCUCAGUUCGGAUCGGAGUCUGCAACCCGACUCCGUGAAGCUGGAUUCGCUAGUAAUCGCGCAUCAGCCAUGGCGCGGUGAAUACGUUCCCGGGCCUUGUACACACCGCCCGUCAAGCCAUGGGAGCCGAGGGCGCUUGAAGU